rnacentral:rRNA from 1 species
UGCAAGUCGAGCGAUCUGAGGGAGCUUGCUCCCAAAGAUUAGCGGCGGACGGGUGAGUAACAGGUGGGCAACCUGCCUGUAAGACUGGGAUAACUUCGGGAGACCGGAGCUAAUACCGGAUAAUCCUUUUCUACUCAUGUAGAAAGGCUGAAAGAUGGCUUCGGCUAUCACUUACAGAUGGGCCCGCGGCGCAUUAGCUAGUUGGUGAGGUAACGGCUCGCCAAGGCGACGAUGCGUAGCCGACCUGAGAGGGUGAUCGGCCACACUGGGACUGAGACACGGCCCAGACUCCUACGGGAGGCAGCAGUAGGGAAUCUUCCGCAAUGGACGAAAGUCUGACGGAGCAACGCCGCGUGAGUGAUGAAGGUUUUCGGAUCGUAAAACUCUGUUGUUAGGGAAGAACAAGUACCGUUCGAAUAGGGCGGUACCUUGACGGUACCUAACCAGAAAGCCACGGCUAACUACGUGCCAGCAGCCGCGGUAAUACGUAGGUGGCAAGCGUUGUCCGGAAUUAUUGGGCGUAAAGCGCGCGCAGGUGGUUUCUUAAGUCUGAUGUGAAAGCCCCCGGCUCAACCGGGGAGGGUCAUUGGAAACUGGGAGACUUGAGUGCAGAAGAGGAAAGUGGAAUUCCAAGUGUAGCGGUGAAAUGCGUAGAGAUUUGGAGGAACACCAGUGGCGAAGCGACUUUCUGGUCUGUAACUGACACUGAGGCGCGAAAGCGUGGGGAGCGAAACAGAUUACUAUACCCUGGUAGUCCACACCGUAAACGAUGAGUGCUAAGUGUUAGAGGGUUUCCGCCCUUUAUGCUGCAGCAAUCGCAUUAAGCACUUCGCAUGGGGGAGUACGGGCGCAAGGCUGAGACUCAAGGAAUUGACUGGGGCCCGCCACAGCGUGGAGCAUGUGUUUAAUUUCAAAGCAAC